GAAUAACAGCAGAGUCGUUAAACGUCAUUGCUGUAUCUUUUAUCAUAUUCAUUGCACCAGAGAAUAGUUGGUCAAUUAUAUAUCUAGCAAUAAGCGGGGCUAGAUGAAACGUUGAAAUUUGAAGCGGGUUUACUAGUAAAGUUAAACGCAUAACAUUAACCUGUUAAACUUUUUACUGGUGAUGUCCCGUACGGGCAGCCGUACAAAGGUUGACAGUAGACCCUGUUCGUUGUGACAGACAGGACGCCUUUUAUACACGUGGGGUAUUUAUAUCAUUGUACGACUCGGAAAGAGACUGAAAAACAGAAUGUGUAUUAAAGUGACGUGCUCGAAAUGUAAGAAGUUUACCUGGGCAGGAUGUGGGAAUCAUAUUGAAGUGGUACUUGAUGGGGUACCGGAGGAAGAAAGAUGUCGGUGUCCACGGGAUAAAGAGAAAAAGUGUGUGAUAAUAUGAGCUGCAUGGUGUUUAGGUAAGAGUCUGUUUACCUGGUCCAGGUAACAAGCUCAAGUGGAGGAUGACAGAAUACUCACAGGGCAAUCGCCACUACUACACAAGGACAGAAUCUCAAAACCACUCAUGUGCCAUGGGAUAUUUUGUAUUGUUUUUAUUUUCGUUCAGAUAAUUAAUUUGUUACAUAUACACUUUACAUUAUGUAUGUUCACGUUUAUGUGUAUGUCAUUGUCAUGCAAAAUUACAUUGAUAUCUGAGCUGAUU